CAGAGGGAAUUGUAUAGAGGACAGCUGAAGAAGGCAUUGGCCUCUGCUGGCUCCCCGGGACUCCCAGGAGAGAUCAAAGGGACACGAGGGGGUUUUUAGCAGCCUUGAGACUGGGAAAAGUUGCUAGUUCCUGCUAUCGGAGGGACGUCCCAGCGAGCACAUGGUUCAAUUAUUCAACCUCCUCCCCUCCCUGCCCCCUACACCCAUCCUUAGCUCAUUCUCCACAGAAAGAAGGAAAUUGUAAAAAAAUCGUACGGGGUCCCCAAAGCUGCAAUGGUCCACCCAGGAAUUUUCCCGUGGCGACAAUUGUUGUGUCGCCUCUUGAUCGCCUUGACUUCGAGCUCAGAGAAUGAGCUAAGCCUGCUGCUACAUGUUUGCUUCCCUUCCUGGACUGCGGACGAUUUCACCGAGGAAAAUAAAGAUGCACAAUAUAAAACCCAAAACAAACCAACCAAAAAACCCCAACAAAAUAAAAGAGAAAACCCAAACCAACCAAACAAAAAAUAAACCAAAACAAACCCCCAAAACCUCAAACUAAAAACAAGGCUUUAAACGCUCGGUCGCGUCCCUUCAGAAGAAGGCGGUGUCAACGCGGCAGCACGGCCGACAAGGCACCCCAUUCCCCCCUUCCACUGCCUUCCCCAUGUCGUUCCCGGCCCCACAGGCACCUCUGGCUCUGCACGCCGGGACGGGCACCACGCACCGCGGGCCGGCGGAGCCCCGCAUCCCCCCGCUCCCGAGAGAGCGAGCAGGUGGUUGGUUCCCAGGAGAGCGGAGCAGGCAAACUUCUCCAAACAAUCGCUCAAGUUACCCUGCUGCUGGAGGAGACGCUGCCGUGGGGGUCCUGCCGGGCGGACGGGUGGCUUCUUGAGAUGAAUGCCCGGCUGCGGGCAAAUCUGACAGCCGGCUGCCCCGGUGUGGGUGCGACACUGUGGCUUUGGAGGGUGGCCCAGCACGGCUCCUGCCCUGAUGAGGGCAGCGGGAUCGCCGUGUGAACUCUGUGUAGCCCUUCCCGCGGACGCGGCGGAGUUUGAAACAAAUUAGGAAGGAAGGAGAAGAGCUGCAAGCCCGAUGUGAAAUACUGUCUUGCUGGACAAGUGCCUUCGCUAUAGAAGCGAGCUGCAGCGUCUCCUCUCUUGUGCCAGGUCGCAGAGAUGGCACGCAGGGCCCAACGCUCCCCCGCGCCGCUUUCUGAAGAAUUCGAGAGUUUCCCGAGACAACGGGUUUAAUUUCAAAGGAGAAAAAAAAUGGGGAAACUUGCAUCACCGUGCCCGCCGCAAUUACUCCUUGCAAGGGAGUGUCUCAUUAGAGCUAGCACAUCACUGGUUUAAAAACCCCGCUGGCCACGGCGACACAGAAAGGGUGGUAGGAAGGCACUGCAGAUUGGAGAGUCAGCUCUCAGGGCAGGCUCUGCCCAGAGCUUCCACUUCAGACGGGUGUACCCGUGCCCCAGAUGGCCAGGGAGGGGGAGGCUUUCCCAAAGCGCGACUGUGACCUUUCAAAAACCAGAAACAAAGAAUAAAUCAAGGGCUAAAGCUGACGAGGGGACCGCA
ensembl:lncRNA